rnacentral:rRNA from 1 species
GAUGAACGCUGGCGGCGUGCCUAACACAUGCAAGUCGAGCGAAGCGGGGACGGGUGAGUAAUACGUGGAUAACCUCUUAUAAGACUGGGAUACCUUCGGGAAACCGGAGCUAAACCGGAUACUUACAGAUGGAUCCGCGCUGCAUUAGCUAGUUUGUACGGUAACGGCUUACCAAGGCAACGAUGCCUAGCCGACCUGAGAGGGUGAUCAGCCACACUGGAACUGAGACACGGUCCAGACUCCUACGGGAGGCAGCAGUAGGGAAUCUUCCGCAAUGGGCGAAAGCCUGACGCAGCAACGCCGCGUGAGUGAUGAAGGGCUUCGGAUCGUAAAGCACUGUUAGUAGGGAAGCGGUACCUGAUCAGGAAGCCACGGCUAACUACGUGCCAGCAGCCGCGGUAAUUC